rnacentral:rRNA from 1 species
AGAGUUUGAUCCUGGCUCAGGAUGAACGCUAGCGACAGGCCUAACACAUGCAAGUCGAGGGGCAGCGAAGAGGUAGCAAUACCUUUGUCGGCGACCGGCGCACGGGUGAGUAACACGUAUGCAAUCCACCUGUAACAGGGGGAUAACCCGGAGAAAUCCGGACUAAUACCCCAUAAUAUGGGCGCUCCGCAUGGAGAGCCCAUUAAAGAGAGCAAUUUUGGUUACAGACGAGCAUGCGCUCCAUUAGCCAGUUGGCGGGGUAACGGCCCACCAAAGCGACGAUGGAUAGGGGUUCUGAGAGGAAGGUCCCCCACAUUGGAACUGAGACACGGUCCAAACUCCUACGGGAGGCAGCAGUGAGGAAUAUUGGUCAAUGGUCGGCAGACUGAACCAGCCAAGUCGCGUGAGGGAAGACGGCCCUACGGGUUGUAAACCUCUUUUGUCGGAGAGUAAAGUACGCUACGUGUAGUGUAUUGCAAGUAUCCGAAGAAAAAGCAUCGGCUAACUCCGUGCCAGCAGCCGCGGUAAUACGGAGGAUGCAAGCGUUAUCCGGAUUUAUUGGGUUUAAAGGGUGCGUAGGCGGCACGCCAAGUCAGCGGUGAAAUUUCCGGGCUCAACCCGGAGUGUGCCGUUGAAACUGGCGAGCUAGAGUACACAAGAGGCAGGCGGAAUGCGUGGUGUAGCGGUGAAAUGCAUAGAUAUCACGCAGAACCCCGAUUGCGAAGGCAGCCUGCUAGGGUGAAACAGACGCUGAGGCACGAAAGCGUGGGUAUCGAACAGGAUUAGAUACCCUGGUAGUCCACGCAGUAAACGAUGAAUACUAACUGUUUGCGAUACAAUGUAAGCGGUACAGCGAAAGCGUUAAGUAUUCCACCUGGGGAGUACGCCGGCAACGGUGAAACUCAAAGGAAUUGACGGGGGCCC